UGGGGAAUAUUGCACAAUGGGCGAAAGCCUGAUGCAGCGACGCCGCGUGAGGGAUGACGGCCUUCGGGUUGUAAACCUCUUUCAGUAGGGACGAAGCGCAAGUGACGGUACCUGCAGAAGAAGCACCGGCUAACUACGUGCCAGCAGCCGCGGUAAUACGUAGGGUGCGAGCGUUGUCCGGAAUUACUGGGCGUAAAGAGCUCGUAGGCGGUUUGUCACGUCAUCUGUGAAAUCCUAGGGCUUAACCCUGGACGUGCAGGCGAUACGGGCUGACUUGAGUACUACAGGGGAGACUGGAAUUUCUGGUGUAGCGGUGGAAUGCACAGAUAUCAGGAAGAACACCGAUGGCGAAGGCAGGUCUCUGGGUAGUAACUGACGCUGAGGAGCGAAAGCAUGGGUAGCGAACAGG
rnacentral:rRNA from 1 species